GACAGAGGGUGCUAGCGUUGUUCGGAAUUAUUGGGCGUAAAGAGCUCGUAGGCGGUCUGUCGCGUCUGCUGUGAAAACUCGGGGCUUAACCCCGGACCUGCAGUGGGUACGGGCAGACUAGAGUGCGGUAGGGGAGACUGGAAUUCCUGGUGUAGCGGUGAAAUGCGCAGAUAUCAGGAGGAACACCGGUGGCGAAGGCGGGUCUCUGGGCCGUAACUGACGCUGAGGAGCGAAAGCGUGGGGAGCGAACAGG
rnacentral:rRNA from 1 species